UCAAUUAGGAGGCUCGCAUGGCUUUCCCCCCACAUCGUUCUAAACUAAACUAAACUAAAUGAAAACAACAUAUUGAAAGGAAGCUUAUUGUCCAAUAUAUUUUUCGGUAUAGAUGGAGAUGGAUAUGCGAGACUUGAAACUACCAUGCAGUGGACAGCUGGUGGUGACCGCUACAAGGUCCAAGCAUAGGAAUGAUUGAUUUCAGUUUUUGCUAUUUGCCACCUGCCUGAAAAUAGGAUCCCAAUUGGUCGAUUUCGCGUGAAGAGCAACGACAUAGCUCCGAGGCUGAGACAGGGGCGAGGCAGGGGGGUGGAGGAGAACGUAUCCGGUGAAACGACCGAAUUGGUGCACCAGAUGCACCAGCUAUGUAUGGGCCGUUGGAUUCGAAAGAAAGGGACAUGAUUCAGUGCGAUGACGGGCCUGAUGGUACAUUUGCAGACCAGUCCUUGCAGCUCAGCUAAAUCCAACGAAUUGGCCUCCCCGUACUCAGAUCGUCUUCCUCCCCUUUGCCAGAUUCUGUACCAGUACAUCCUCUUGAAGCUAGGGUUAAGGUCCAGCGAACUCAAAGAUUGAUCUCAGAGCUUAACGAAACGCGGCUGUCUCUCCCUCUUUUGUACCACUCAGGCGAAUUAGGGUUAUUAAAUUUCGACGGUCUCUCUCAAAAAUCCGCCGCCGGCGCCGCCGCCGCCGUCAGCACUAUCCAACGAUAGCCGCCGCCGUCAGCACUAUCCAACGAUAGCCGCCGCCGUCAGCACUAUCCAACGAUAGCAGCUCAAGGAUGUAGGUCAUUACGGAGUCUCAUUGCCCGGAGCCGGUAAAUCUGUUGAAGAGCCUGAGCUAUGACUGGGUAAUCUUCAGAGGAGUCAUCUUCAUAGGUCUCCAAGAUGGCAUUGAUGAAACUGAUAAUUUCACCUCUCAUACUAGUCCAGAUCGUGUAUGGCUGUCUCAGGCUUCAGUUUUUGUAGCACCAUGUAAUCAUCAAGAAUGUACAUUUGCUAGAAAAUCUUGUAUGCAGGUUUUCUGUAGUUUACAUGAGUGGUUGUUGUACAAUAUACAGAUGCUUGUGUUGUUCCGAUGUGAAAGAUGUGAUGUUCUUGCAUAGAAGCAUCUAAAUAAAAUGUAUUCAGAUA